UUCGUCCAUUUGAGACGUAAUUUUUCAACCGAAGAAAGUCUUCGUUUAUUGGUAAACUGUUGAAGUAUAAGACUGUGAAAAUACGUAAUUAGAAGGACUACACACUUCAAUGUCGC